GCCUGGCUGGCUCGGUCGGAAGAGCAUGUGACUCUUGAUCUCAGGGUUGUGGGCUCAAGCCCCAUCUUGGGUG
rnacentral:tRNA from 1 species